UAAAAUUAAAAAAUUUGGCGGUAUUUUAGUCUUUUCAGAGGAACCUGUUCUAUAAUUGAUAGUCCACGAUUAAUUAUACUUAUUUUAUAAAUUUAUAUAUCGUCGUAGUUUGAAUGUUUUAAAAGAAUUGUAAAUGUUCAAGAUUUAAAAUAAUAAAUUAAAUCAGAUCAAGGUGUAGUUUAUAAAUAAGAAGAAAUGGGUUACAUAUAAUAAAUUAUUGGAUAAAUUUAUGAAAGUAAAUUUUGAAAUUGGAUUUGAAAGUAAUUUUAAAAAUAUUUUUAUUAUGAUUUAAGCUCUAAAAUAUGUACAUAUUGCCCGUCGCUUUCGUUUUAAGAUGAGAUAAGUCGUAACAAAGUAGAUUUACUGGAAAGUGAAUCUAGAAGA
rnacentral:rRNA from 1 species